AGCGAACGCUGGCGGCAGGCUUAACACAUGCAAGUCGAACGCAUCCUUCGGGGUGAGUGGCAGACGGGUGAGUAACGCGUGGGAACAUGCCCUUUGGUUCGGAAUAACUCAGGGAAACUUGAGCUAAUACCGGAUAAGCCCUUUUGGGGAAAGAUUUAUCGCCGAAGGAUUGGCCCGCGUCCGAUUAGCUAGUUGGUGAGGUAAUGGCUCACCAAGGCGACGAUCGGUAGCUGGUCUGAGAGGAUGAUCAGCCACACUGGGACUGAGACACGGCCCAGACUCCUACGGGAGGCAGCAGUGGGGAAUAUUGGACAAUGGGGGCAACCCUGAUCCAGCCAUGCCGCGUGAGUGAUGAAGGCCCUAGGGUUGUAAAGCUCUUUCGGCGGGGACGAUAAUGACGGUACCCGCAGAAGAGGCCCCGGCUAACUUCGUGCCAGCAGCCGCGGUAA
rnacentral:rRNA from 1 species